AUUGAACGCUGGCGGCAGGCUUAAUACAUGCAAGUCGAACGAGUGGCGGACGGGUGAGUUAGGCUUGGGAAUCUAGCUUAUGGAGGGGGAUAACUACGGGAAACUUUAGCAAAUCGCGCGUACCAUAGGAUACACCCAAGUGGGAUGAGGUAGUUGGUGAGGUAAAGGCUCACAAAGCCGACGAUCUCUAGCUGGUCUGAGAGGAUGACCGGCCACACUGGGACUGAGACAUGGCCCAGACUCCUACGGGAGGAAGCAGUAGGGAAUAUUGCGCAAUGGGGGCAACCUGACGCAGCCAUGCCGCGUGAAUGAAGAAGGCCUUCGGGUUGUAAAGUUCUGUCGGUAGCGAGGCGGUAACUACAGAAGAAGCACCGGCUAACUCCGUGCCAGCAGCCGCGGUAAUAC
rnacentral:rRNA from 1 species